AAACGAAUAUCAUUUGUACCGUAGACAGUAGGUGCCUUUUCGGGCUUAAUUUCCUACCGAGGUAUGUGGACGAUAGACAGCGCGCCAUCGAUCGCGGCGCGUUGAACGAUACCUCCAUGUCUACGUGGCAUGGGGGUUUUUCAUUGAACUA
rfam:Geobacillus thermodenitrificans NG80-2, complete genome.